GACGAACGCUGGCGGCGUGCCUAAUACAUGCCAGUCGAGCGAAGUUUUUCUGGUGCUUGCACUAGAAACACUUAGCGGCGAACGGGUGAGUAACACGUAAAGAACCUGCCUCAUAGACUGGGACAACUAUUGGAAACGAUAGCUAAUACCGGAUAACAGUAUUUCUCGCAUGAGAGAUAUUUGAAAGUUGGUUAUGCUAACACUAUGAGAUGGCUUUGCGGUGCAUUAGCUAGUUGGUGGGGUAAAGGCCCACCAAGGCGACGAUGCAUAGCCGACCUGAGAGGGUGAUCGGCCACACUGGGACUGAGACACGGCCCAGACUCCUACGGGAGGCAGCAGUAGGGAAUCUUCCGCAAUGGGCGAAGGCCUGACGGAGCAACGCCGCGUGAGUGAAGAAGGAUUUCGGUUCGUAAAGCUCUGUUGUUAGGGAAGAAUGGAUAUGUAGUAACUAUACAUGUAAGAGACGGUACCUAACCAGAAAGCCACGGCUAACUACGUG
rnacentral:rRNA from 1 species